UACGUAGGGCGCAAGCGUUGUCCGGAAUUAUUGGGCGUAAAGAGCUCGUAGGCGGUUUUGUAAGCCAGAUGUGAAAUCCCCGGGCUUAACCUGGGAAUGGCAUUUGGGACUGCAAGGCUUGAGUGCGGCAGAGGAGACUGGAAUUCCUGGUGUAGCAGUGAAAUGCGUAGAUAUCAGGAGGAACACCGAUGGCGAAGGCAGGUCUCUGGGCUGACACUGACGCUCAUGCACGAAAGCGUGGGGAGCAAACAGG
rnacentral:rRNA from 1 species